UACGAAGGGGGCGAGCGUUGUUCGGAAUUACUGGGCGUAAAGGGCGCGCAGGCGGCUCUGAAAGUCAGAUGUGAAAGCCCCGGGCUUAACCUGGGAAUUGCAUUUGAUACUCUGGAGCUUGAGUGUGGGAGAGGAGAGUGGAAUUCCCAGUGUAGAGGUGAAAUUCGUAGAUAUUGGGAAGAACACCGGUGGCGAAGGCGGCUCUCUGGGACGGUACUGACGCUGAGACGCGAAAGCGUGGGGAGCGGACAGG
rnacentral:rRNA from 1 species